rnacentral:rRNA from 1 species
AGUGAACGCUGGCGGUAGGCCUAACACAUGCAAGUCGAACGGCAGCACAGUAAGAGCUUGCUCUUACGGGUGGCGAGUGGCGGACGGGUGAGGAAUACAUCGGAAUCUACUUUUUCGUGGGGGAUAACGUAGGGAAACUUACGCUAAUACCGCAUACGACCUACGGGUGAAAGCAGGGGAUCUUCGGACCUUGCGCGAUUGAAUGAGCCGAUGUCGGAUUAGCUAGUUGGCGGGGUAAAGGCCCACCAAGGCGACGAUCCGUAGCUGAUCUGAGAGGAUGAUCAGCCACACUGGAACUGAGACACGGUCCAGACUCCUACGGGAGGCAGCAGUGGGGAAUAUUCGACAAUGGGCGCAAGCCUGAUCCAGCCAUACCGCGUGGGUGAAGAAGGCCUUCGGGUUGUAAAGCCCUUUUGUUGGGAAAGAAAAGCAGCAGGUUAAUACCCCGCUGUUCUGACGGUACCCAAAGAAUAAGCACCGGCUAACUUCGUG